rnacentral:lncRNA from 1 species
UUCACCUCUGCCACUCUAGAGACAGCAAGACCAAAUCCUUCUCCUCCUCCUCUUCCUCAGCCCACUCAGCAUGAAGAUGACAAGAAUGAAGACCUUUUUGGUGAUCCACUCCCACUUACUGAAUAGUCACAGAACCAGUUUAAACUGCAUCCCUUUUGAAUGGGGCCAGACUCACACGAGGAGUGGUGACUGUACGAGUUAAUGUGGUUUUACUACCCAGAAGGUGAGAUUUAGCUGUCAUUUUAGAGCUCAUUUAAAACAUUCUCUAUAACUUCCUUCUAGUGUUUCUAAGAUUCUAUUUUGUAGAGUAGUUACAAUUUUGGAUUUAAGAUCCUCCCUUUUGAGCCUUUGUAAGCUAGUGUAGAGGUUCAUGAUGUGUGAUGAGUUAUAAUUUUUCUGAGGCCCAAAUUUGAGCCUCACGUGCUGUUGGAAUGG